AUGUCGGACUGGGGGCCGGUGGUGAUCGCGGUGGUGCUGUUCGUGCUGCUGUCGCCGGGGCUGCUGCUGCAGCUCCCCGGGAAGCACCACUUCGUGGAGUUCGGCAACAUGCACACCAGCGCCAUGGCCAUCCUCGUCCACGCCAUCAUCUACUUCGCCCUCAUCGCGCUCUUCGUCAUCGUCAUCGGCGUGCACAUCACCACUGACUAG
rnacentral:rRNA from 1 species